GACGAACGCUGGCGGCGUGGAUUAGGCAUGCAAGUCGGACGGUAGGGCUUUAUCGUAAGAUAGAGUUUGAGAGUGGCGAACGGGUGAGUAACACGUAGGAAUCUACCCUUAAGACGGGGACAACCCAGGGAAACUUGGGCUAAUACCGGAUGAGAGUGCGAGAGAUUGCAUUUAAAAGGAUGGCGAAAGUUGUCGCUUAGGGAUGAGCCUGCGGUCUAUUAGUUAGUUGGUGAGGUAACGGCCCACCAAGGCGACGAUUGGUAGCCGAACUGAGAGGUUGAUCGGCCGCAUUGGGACUGAGACACGGCCCAGACUCCUACGGGAGGCAGCAGUGGGGAAUAUUGCGCAAUGGGGGAAACCCUGACGCAGCAACGCCGCGUGAAGGAAGAAGGCCUUCGGGUUGUAAACUUCUUUGAUCGGGACGAAGAUGACGGUACCCGAGGAACAAGCCACGGCAACUACGUG
rnacentral:rRNA from 1 species